UACGUAGGGUGCGAGCGUUAAUCGGAAUUACUGGGCGUAAAGCGUGCGCAGGCGGUUUGGUAAGACAGAUGUGAAAUCCCCGGGCUUAACCUGGGAAUUGCAGUGGAAACUAGGGGACUGGAAUCUGGCAGAGGGGGGUGGAAUGCCGCGUGUAGCAGUGAAAUGCGUAGAGAUGCGGUGGAACACCGAUGGCGAAGGCAGCCCCCUGGGCUGAGAUUGACGCUCAGGCACGAAAGCGUGGGGAGCAAACAGG
rnacentral:rRNA from 1 species